AGGCUAAAGAAGCCUCAGAAUGCCAUACAGAAGUAGUGCUUCUAUAGUGUUAAUACAAAAGCCUUACUUAGAAGAUAGAAGGAAAAAAAGAACACGCUGGAUGUUAGGAAUAUUUUGUGGCACCUAAAGGGGGACAAAGAAAGACAUUCAAGACAUCUAAUGUACACAUUGGGGAUAAAUCAUUCUACUGUAUUGUACAGUAAAAUGUUACCUUUCCAGAUGGGUGGUUUUAAUUUCAAAUUAAAAACAGGUAUUAAAGAACAAAUUAAAAUUAAAGAUUAAAAAAAAAAAAAUUGGGUAUUAUUCUCCAUAUUUGAGAAAUGGUCUCCAUAUCUGAAUUCAAUACUGGUUGAGUUUCUGUUCAACAGGUAAAGCUAGUGCCAAACAAUAAGGAUAAAAAAUAUAGAAGAAGUAAUCCCUUGAUCAGCAUUUAUUUAAAAACAAUAAAGUGAAUACUGCAACAUUAAAGAAUAAAGAAAAGACUAAGAUGUGUUUACCAUCCUUAAUCAUAAAAAGUAUACCAUCCCUUCAACGUCAAACUCAGCAAAAAAUGUGAAUGCAUGAAACUGAACUGACUGGAUGCUUUGUCUCUUGCAAUAACAAGUGACAGACUGCAAACUAACACUGCAUGGAAUGCUUAUUGGUCGACCAAUGCCAAUACCAAUGUCUGCGCAAUACUAUAUAACAAAAAUUCAUCCCCAAAAAGGACUUCCUCUGGAACGACUGCAGAUGGAGCUUUUGGAACAAUUACAAAUAAAGAUGAGAUCUUAUGUGAUAAAACUAAUUGUAUGCAUAAGCUAUUUGUGUGCAGGGAAAAAGAAAAGGAGCCUGAUGAGGAGAUGGAGAUAAAAUGCCAUAUUAUGCCAUGGGAUCUAGUGUAUCUGAGGGUCUUCAGGAGAGAGUGACAUAAAACAAGGACCAAGGAGAGCAGCUCUAACAGCAGGCCAAGGGGGAAGGAGCACAUCUGAUGUCAUCUGAGCCAUUGCAAAAAGUUCCUAAAAUACCAGUCGAAGAAGAGGACAACAAAAACACGAUACAGAAGAGGAGAGCUGAGGAGCAGAGGAGAACUUAAACACAAUAAUGAAGAAGAGAGCUGAGGAAAAGAAAAUAAUAAAAGACAUGAUACAGAAGACAACAACAGAAAAAUUAAAAGCAAUUCAAGCCUACAAAGAGAUAAAAGAACGAAGUAAUGACCACCCAGGGCAUAUCAAGCAACAACAACAAAGUUAAGAAAAAUUUGUAAAUGAGAAGAGACUUUCAGGAGCAACAACCAAUGAGUGCAAAGCAGUGGAGUUCACAAGCAAUACACAGAGACAAAGUUGCUGCAAGGAUCAGUAACACUUUAGCGAGGACCAGUAACACCAGUGAGAAUUUAUUCUACAAUAAUCUCUGCAGAACCAAAGUUUAGAUAAAAUACUGAAGAUACCAAAACAAAAAGGAGACAAGGACAUCAACAGAAGAAAAAGGACGUCAACGGAAGGAAAAAAAAUAUGUUGGACAUUUUAUGGGAAACAAAAAAAAAAAACA